UACGUAGGCAGCAAGCGUUGUUCGGAGUUACUGGGCGUAAAGAGUGCGUAGGCGGUCCUGUAAGUUUGGUGUGAAAUCUCCCGGCUCAACUGGGAGGGUGCGCCGAAGACUGCAGGGCUUGAGUAUGGGAGAGGUAAGCGGAAUUCCUGGUGUAGCGGUGAAAUGCGUAGAUAUCUGGAGGAACACCGGUGGCGAAGGCGGCAUCCUGGACCGAUAUUGACGCUGAUGCGCGAAAGCCAGGGGAGCAAACGGG
rnacentral:rRNA from 1 species